AUGAGGCCCGGGGCCCAGUUCCUCACCACGAGCCACCGCGCCGGAGCGCCGACGGCGGCGCCGGCGCAUGGGCUGAUCAACGGGACGGCGCCGCCGCACUCGACGUGGCAGUCGCCGGUGCCGUACCUGUUCGGCGGGCUGGCGGCGAUGCUCGGGCUCAUCGCCUUGGCUCUGCUCAUCCUCGCCUGCUCCUACUGGAAGCUCUCCGGGUACCUCGACGGUGACCGGGACGGCCAGGCCGCGGGGGACGCGGACGAGGAGAAGGGCUCGGCGUCUGGCGCGGCCAGGCCGGCCAUGGAUUUCCAGGAGCACGUGGUGGUCAUCAUGGCCGGCGACGAGCGACCAACGUUCCUCGCCAAGCCGGUCACCAGCCGGGUGGCCGAGGUGGAGGUUGGGGCCGCGGCGGCUCCUGAGGCGAGCGCGCGCGCCGGCGACGACGGGCAGGAGAAGGUGGACGAGCAGGCCUGCGAGGUGUGUUCGCAUCUCGGGGCCGACUCGGCGACCCCGGGCCGUGAUCACCACGACGAGGCAGGCCAGAGCUGCGACCAUGACCAUGACGCGGCGAGCCGGAGCCACAACCACCUCCAUGACCAUGACCAUGAGAGCAGCGGCACGACGGCACUGCAAGAAAGCUCGCAAUAA
rnacentral:rRNA from 1 species